rnacentral:rRNA from 1 species
AUUGAACGCUGGCGGCAGGACUAACACAUGCAAGUCGAGCGAGCGGCGGACGGGUGAGUACUGUCUGGGAAACUGCCUGAUGGAGGGGGCUAACUACUGGAAACGGUAGCUAAUACCGCAUACCAUCAGAUGUGCCCAGAUGGGAUUAGGUAGUAGGGUGGGUAACGGCUCACCUAGGCGAAGAUCCCUAGCUGGUCUGAGAGGAUGACCAGGCACACGGGAACUGAGACACGGUCCUGACUCCUACGUGGGGUAGCAGUGGGGAAUAUUGCACAAUAGGCGCAAGCCUGAUACAGCCAUGCCGCGGGUGUGAAGAAGGCCUUCUGGUUGUAAAGCACUUUCAGCGGGGAGGCGUUGCCCGCAAAAGAAGCACCGGCUAACUCCGUGCCAGCAGCCGCGGUAAUUC